UCUUUUCAUUCCAUUUUAUAUAUUUGAUUCGGUUAACAAUACUUGAUUGAAAUUAUGUAUGCUAUAAAUAUCACCCCAAUCCAGAUUUUAUCCACUCGAGGCCUCAACAGAUUACCUCAACUUUGGCUCUUGCUAUGCUUGGCCUUGAUUUCCUUGUCGUCGCCGCAUCUACAACCAAUAAUCGACCCACCGGUGCACAUAUGCGCUUUAGAAUCUAUAAAUUGGAUAGGUGAUAUGGAAGUCUAGGUAAUUGAAUCCAUAUUGCUGCAAAUGGCAUGUCUCGUCUAGGGCUCCAAUCCGACGUCCAUCUGGAGAACCGCACAAGUUUUCCUCCAAAUAUUCCUUGAUUUCUAGCCAAGACCUUAUUGCAUUCCCACUCCGCCUCAAAUCGAAUUAGUGUGUUCUUUGCAUUUAGUACUCCAAUUCGCACGUUUGUUGACAGAGCAAACGCAUCUCGGAACUCAGCCCUAAUCAAGGUGAGUUUAUCUUCUUUCUCUGCCAAUUCUUUCCAUUCUACCUCUGCGAUUUGCACAACUAAACACCCCUGUCUUAAUCUACUGGUUGAAUUUCCCGAAUUUGGAAGAAUUGAAUCAACAUUUUGUACCUGCGUGAUCUUUGCUGUUUAUGUUGAUUUGUCUUGUUGUACAAUGUCUACGAAAGAGCGCAAUAGAGUUGCAGGGAGCCGGCGACCUUGAUUCAGAGCAUCUCCAGUAUCAACUUGAUUUGUAUUUGCUUCGGUUGUUUUUCCUAUAUUUUCUGGAUCGAUCGAGACAGUGGCUAGAUCUCCGAUAUGAUUUUGCAUCUCCGGAGCGGCAUCUACAACGAUCAUAGUGAAAGUAUCAUUUUGCCUUCAAAAAAGACGGCCAGCUCACAUCCAAAUUGACGGAGGAUCAAAUCGGAUACAAAAUCAAUAGUUGAGAACUUAAUUGGUCAAAAUUAGUAGUCGAUGACCAAUUUAGUACUUUCGCAAUAGUCGAUAACCAAAACGGUAAUUAACUCUUUUUCUUAUUUAAUUUGUUGUAACAUUAAUUUAGGGAUAAUAAUCAAAUUAAUUUUUGAACUUAUUGAAGAUGGCACUUAUAGACCAUUGAACUU